UCGUCAAUACGCAGCGCCAACAUCGUCAAUAAGUAGCGCCAACAUCGUCAACACGUAGCGCCAACAUCGUCAACACGUAGCGCCAACAUCGUCAACAUCGUCACUAAACAUUCUUUAAUCAACACCAAACACUCUUUACUCAACACCAAACACGUGUUCAAAGGCCUUAUUGUACACGUGUUCAAAGACCUUACUUAGUACAGUGUUCAAAGACCUUACUGUACACGUGUUCAAAGACCUUACUGUACACGUGUUCAAAGACCUGACUUAGUACACGUGCUCGGAGAGUUAAGUUGUUGACGCACAGAGAAAUUUUAUAACAACGACAACAAUAACAACUAAAACUAGAACAAAAACUAUAACAAUACCUACAACUUCAGCUACAACAAGAAUAACAUUACCAACAACAAAAACCACAACAAUAACAACUACAAAAACAUCUACAACAACAACAAGACACAUUAACUUUACCCUCAGGAAGGCGAAUUGAUACGAAAUAAUAAUCAAAACAGCCUCUCUCUCUCUCUCUCUCUCUCUCUCUCUCUCUCUCUCUCUCUCUCUCUCUCUCUCUCUAAACAACUAUAAUUCUGGAUGCUAUUUACCUGCUAAUCACGGCACUGAAUUAUUUCUAUCCGUAAUUGAAUACAGGAAACAAUCCACUCACAAAUAGCAGUAAAGUUAUGAGUAAAAGACAAAAGAGCUCAAUCACUCAUAAACUAAACCCAUUUAUGGGAUGAGACUUUGAGCAAAAAGGCAAAGUCAAUCUUCUUAAAAGGAUAAACGUUUUAGCCUCAUUUUUGUAUUCAUAUGUAAAAUGACAAACAGACUCACCUUCAUUUGAUUUAAAUUACAAUUGCCCUAAUUUUUUUUUUAUAAUUAUCAAAUGGCAAACUAAUUAUCUGAAGAGGAACAGCAUGUAGUGUGUGACAUGUAUAUACAGUAUUUUUCAUUAGUGUGUAUAAAUUUAGUUGAGAACAAAACCUGGUGAAUACUAUUGAAGAUUGGAUCUCUCACUCCCUACAUAAGGUGACAUAAACUUACCUAGUAUCUCUCACUCCCUACACAAGGUGACAUACACGAGAAGAGAGCCAGGGAAACAUUACCUCACAAAAGUUACUGUCAAGAGCUACAAGUUGGUUUCUGCCUCAAUUUUCCUGCGAUGACAACACCUGGAGUCAAUAAGACGUGAGGCAGCCUGAAUCAACAUCAGUGACCUCCAGGUGAAUGUGAGUCAAACUGAAUCAACAUCAAUGACCUCCAGGUGAAUGUGAGUCAACCUGAAUCAACAUUAAUGACCUCCAGGUGAAUGUGGGACAAUUUCAAUCAACAUAAAUGACCUCCAGGUGAAUGUGAGUCAACCUGAAUCAACAUUAAUGACCUCCAGGUGAAAGUGAGUCAAACUGAAUCAACAUCAAUGACCUCCAGGUGAAUGCAGGUCAGCACAAAUCAUCAACAAUGACCUUGAAACAUCCUGAACUGUGUUUGUUUAUAAGGGAGAGUAUUACAGCACCUCCCUCCACCUCCUGUAAAGGGAUCUCCACGGUACUACUGCCAGUGAACUGUGUCUUAAGACGGGCAUAGACACAACCAAACCAAACACAUUAAGGUGUCCAAACAAAUCAAAAUAAACACUGGAUCCUCACCUACCUUCCCUUACUCCCACCUGUGUGUGUAUAUAUAUCUCAAUGUCCUUCAGUACCGUGUUGUGUGCACCUCCCUCUACCCUCAUAACAAAUGCUAAUGUAACAUAUAUUUUCCUUUUUUCCUGAUGUGAAUUUCCCUUCCUAUUUUAUUUCCUGACGAUAAUACACAAAUGCAUUUUUUUUCUUGAUUUUCCUAUGAUUUAUUUCCUCCUGACGAUGAUGUGUACUAUAAUUUUUUUGUAUUUCCUGACGAUGAUUUCAUAUUUGAUAAUGUGAAUGACUAAGUCUUUUAAAUGUUAGUGAUAUAUUGAAUGAGUGAUGUUUUCUCUAACAGGGAAACAGAAUGUGAUUUUUUUUUCUUCUGAUGAUGAUGAUGAUGAUUUAAUAAAUGAAUGUUGUCUCUGGUGACGAUGGUCUGAGAAUGUUGAAUCGUGUUUAAUAUUGUGUCUCGUAAGAA